AGAGUUUGAUCAUGGCUCAGGAUGAACGCUGGCGGCGUUAACACAUGCAAGUCGAACGGUGAACUUGGGAGCUUGCUCCCGGGGGAUCAGUGGCGAACGGGUGAGUAACACGUGAGUAACCUGCCCUUGACUCUGGGAUAAGCACUGGAAACGGUGUCUAAUACCGGAUACGAGCUUCAGCCGCAUGGCUAGGAGCUGGAAAGAACUUUGGUCAAGGAUGGACUCGCGGCCUAUCAGCUAGUUGGUGAGGUAAUGGCUCACCAAGGCGACGACGGGUAGCCGGCCUGAGAGGGUGACCGGCCACACUGGGACUGAGACACGGCCCAGACUCCUACGGGAGGCAGCAGUGGGGAAUAUUGCACAAUGGGCGAAAGCCUGAUGCAGCAACGCCGCGUGAGGGACGACGGCCUUCGGGUUGUAAACCUCUUUUAGUAGGGAAGAAGCGAAAGUGACGGUACCUGCAGAAAAAGCACCGGCUAACUACGUGCCAGCAGCCGCGGUAAUACGUAGGGUGCAAGCGUUAUCCGGAAUUAUUGGGCGUAAAGAGCUCGUAGGCGGUUUGUCGCGUCUGCUGUGAAAACUGGAGGCUCAACCUCCAGCCUGCAGUGGGUACGGGCAGACUAGAGUGCGGUAGGGGAGAUUGGAAUUCCUGGUGUAGCGGUGGAAUGCGCAGAUAUCAGGAGGAACACCGAUGGCGAAGGCAGAUCUCUGGGCCGUAACUGACGCUGAGGAGCGAAAGCAUGGGGAGCGAACAGGAUUAGAUACCCUAGUAGUCC
rnacentral:rRNA from 1 species